AACGCAGCGAAAUGCGAUAAGUAAUGUGAAUUGCAGAAUUCAGUGAAUCAUCGAAUCUUUGAACGCACAUUGCGCCCUUUGGUAUUCCGAAGGGCAUGCCUGUUCGAGCGUCAUUAUCAACCCUCAAGCCCGGCUUGAUAUUGGGUCCAUAUCAACU
rnacentral:rRNA from 1 species